CAGAGGGGGCGAGCGUUGUUCGGAAUUACUGGGCGUAAAGGGCGCGUAGGCGGCCUUCUAAGUCGAACGUGAAAUCCCCGGGCUCAACCCGGGAACUGCGUCCGAUACUGGAAGGCUUGAAUCCGGGAGAGGGAUGCGGAAUUCCAGGUGUAGCGGUGAAAUGCGUAGAUAUCUGGAGGAACACCGGUGGCGAAGGCGGCAUCCUGGACCGGCAUUGACGCUGAGGCGCGAAAGCCAGGGGAGCAAAACGGGAUUAGAUACCCCGGUAGCCCUGGCCCUAAACGAUGAAUGCUUGGUGUGGCGGGUAUCGAUCCCUGCCGUGCCGAAGCUAACGCAUUAAGCAUUCCGCCUGGGGAUACGGUCGCGAGGCUG
rnacentral:rRNA from 1 species